UGUGUCAGAAGACUAGAGCGUCCUACUAGCAAACAUUCUCUCUCUCUACCAGCGACAUAUUUCCUGUGAACGUGCACCUGAAAGAGCUCCCAGAUUAGAAGAUAAAUAAUAACGAAAUACUUUUGAAAAGUCAAUACUUUACAUCUAGUUAUAUCCAUAAGAUAUUAGUCUACCUCAAACUCAACUUUGAAUAAGAAAGAAAAGUGAUUCUGUCGAGUUUAUAGCAAAUUGGAACUCCAGUGAGUAAAGCACGUUUUGCUAGUUUCUCACUAGCAUUCUAGGAAAGGAUGUAAUUCAUAAAAACCAAUCGGAGUAUGAGUGAGACGAUGCUCAAUGUUUGUAUGAAACCUUGAUUGGUUUUUUGAACGACCAGAUCAGAUUUGGAUCCCAGAUGGCGAGCCCAGCCCAGUGAGACUGAGAACGAUCGUGGAAGCGGUGUGGCCAACCGUACGAUUUGUCUCAGAGAAACCCAAGAUUUGUUCAUUCGUUCAUCGAACACCAGAUAAGAUUUUCCACACUGUUGACUCAACACAGUAGUCAUAUCCGCACACAUUCAAGGAACUGAACUUUGGGAAUCGAUACACACACACGUUCAAGGAACUGAACUUUAGGAAUCAAUACACUUUUCAUACAGGAACUGAUAUACACUUUUCAUACAGGAAUUGAACUCUUUCUUGAAUCAGUGCAUACAGGAAUAAGGGGCUUGAAUUCUAAGUUUCCUUUGAUUUUCAUAUUUUAUUUGGUUGAAGAGCUCUUCCUUAUCAUUUCAUUUAUAUUUUGCCCAUUCAAUGCUGUGUAAACACACUGCUGUUUGGAGGCAAUAAAACUGUCAAUUGUUCAACUUAUUAAUUCCUCUUGUGAGUUAGUCCAUUUAAGCAUACCCCUCUCCCGAGCCUAGGUUGAUGUUUAGUGCUUGAAUUACUGGUCCAGGUCUACGAGCGCUACA